rnacentral:rRNA from 1 species
UACGGAGGGUGCAAGCGUUAUCCGGAUUCACUGGGUUUAAAGGGUGCGUAGGUGGGUUGGUAAGUCAGUGGUGAAAUCUCCGGGCUUAACCCGGAACUGCCGUUGAUACUAUCUGUCUUGAAUAUCGUGGAGGUAAGCGGAAUAUGUCAUGUAGCGGUGAAAUGCUUAGAUAUGACAUAGAACACCCAUUGCGAAGGCAGCUUACUACACGAUCAUUGACGCUGAGGCACGAAAGCGUGGGGAGCAAACAGG